CUCAGGCCAGGGGAUGAAGCCAGGGAUGUCCUUACCGCGGGAUGGCAGAAAUCCAAGAGGCCGAGCGGACAUGUGCGAGGAUGCUCGGCGUUCACGUGGAACUGGUGCACAGUCUCUCUAGCGUUCCAUGGGCAGAAGCACCAGCCGAGAGCGCCGGGUCAGAGAGGAGGGUGUUGCAAGUCAGGGUGCGUACUCAGGGCACGUGGGGGGGGAGGGGAUUGGCGCGUUCAGCACGGCAUCCCAUUUACAGGAGCAGAGACAGAGCCUUCAUGGUGAAGUGCCUUCCUCAGGUAUAGCACGGCGAGAGAAAUGGACCUAUUCACUCCUGCAGAAGGUGCCCCGUCUCAUCACUGGGAAGUGAAUCUGGAAUAGUUUGGAAUUUUCAGUGGUGACUGCAGGGGAGCAGCUGGCAAAUGUGUGUUAACCUUUUAAGUUAAAGAUUAAGAAAUUUAUUUGGGGUAGAGGUGG
rnacentral:lncRNA from 1 species